rnacentral:rRNA from 1 species
CCCUUAGAUGUUCUGGGCCGCACGCGCGCUACACUGACGCAUUCAACGAGUCUCCUUGGCCGAGAGGCCUGGGUAAUCUUGUGAACGUGCGUCGUGAUAGGGAUAGAUUAUUGCAAUUAUUAAUCUUGAACGAGGAAUUCCUAGUAAACGCAGAUCAUCAAUCUGCAUUGAUUACGUCCCGGCCCUUUGUACACACCGCCCGUCGCACCUACCGAUUGGAUGGUCCGGUGAGGCCUCGGGAUUGUGGCCGGUGCAUUCAUUUGUGUCGGUUGCGAGAACUUGUCCAAACCUUAUCAUCUAGAGGAAGGUGAAGUCGUAACA